AUGCCUUUUGGGUUAACUAAUGCACCUAGUACUUUCAUGAGGUUAAUGAAUGAAGUUUUACGUGCUUUCAUUGGACGAUUUGUGGUAGUUUACUUUGAUGACAUAUUGAUUUAUAGCAAAUCUUUGGAGGAACAUUUGGAACAUUUACGUGAUGUUUUUAUUGCUCUACGUGAUGCACGUUUGUUUGGCAACCUUGGAAAGUGCACCUUUUGCACCAACCGAGUAUCUUUUCUUGGCUAUGUUGUUACUCCACAGGGAAUUGAAGUUGAUAAAGCCAAGAUUGAAGCUAUUGAGAGUUGGCCGCAGCCCAAAACGGUCACACAAGUGAGGAAUGUAUUGCAGAAUUGU
rnacentral:rRNA from 1 species